GAGCGAACGGGGAGGAGCCCAGAGCCUGAAUCAGUGUGUGUGUUAGUGGAAGCGUCUGGAAAGGCGCGCGAUACAGGGUGACAGCCCCGUACACAAAAAUGCACAUGCUGUGAGCUCGAUGAGUAGGGCGGGACACGUGGUAUCCUGUCUGAAUAUGGGGGGACCAUCCUCCAAGGCUAAAUACUCCUGACUGACCGAUAGUGAACCAGUACCGUGAGGGAAAGGCGAAAAGAACCCCGGCGAGGGGAGUGAAAAAGAACCUGAAACCGUGUACGUACAAGCAGUGGGAGCACAGAGCAAUCUGUGUGACUGCGUACCUUUUGUAUAAUGGGUCAGCGACUUAUAUUCUGUAGCAAGGUUAACCGAAUAGGGGAGCCGAAGGGAAACCGAGUCUUAACUGGGCGUUAAGUUGCAGGGUAUAGACCCGAAACCCGGUGAUCUAGCCAUGGGCAGGUUGAAGGUUGGGUAACACUAACUGGAGGACCGAACCGACUAAUGUUGAAAAAUUAGCGGAUGACUUGUGGCUGGGGGUGAAAGGCCAAUCAAACCGGGAGAUAGCUGGUUCUCCCCGAAAGCUAUUUAGGUAGCGCCUCGUGAAUUCAUCUCCGGGGGUAGAGCACUGUUUCGGCAAGGGGGUCAUCCCGACUUACCAACCCGAUGCAAACUGCGAAUACCGGAGAAUGUUAUCACGGGAGACACACGGCGGGUGCUAACGUCCGUCGUGAAGAGGGAAACAACCCAGACCGCCAGCUAAGGUCCCAAAGUCAUGGUUAAGUGGGAAACGAUGUGGGAAGGCCCAGACAGCCAGGAUGUUGGCUUAGAAGCAGCCAUCAUUUAAAGAAAGCGUAAUAGCUCACUGGUCGAGUCGGCCUGCGCGGAAGAUGUAACGGGGCUAAACCAUGCACCGAAGCUGCGGCAGCGACACUAUGUGUUGUUGGGUAGGGGAGCGUUCUGUAAGCCUGUGAAGGUGUGCUGUGAGGCAUGCUGGAGGUAUCAGAAGUGCGAAUGCUGACAUAAGUAACGAUAAAGCGGGUGAAAAGCCCGCUCGCCGGAAGACCAAGGGUUCCUGUCCAACGUUAAUCGGGGCAGGGUGAGUCGACCCCUAAGGCGAGGCCGAAAGGCGUAGUCGAUGGGAAACAGGUUAAUAUUCCUGUACUUGGUGUUACUGCGAAGGGGGGACGGAGAAGGCUAUGUUGGCCGGGCGACGGUUGUCCCGGUUUAAGCGUGUAGGCUGGUUUUCCAGGCAAAUCCGGAAAAUCAAGGCUGAGGCGUGAUGACGAGGCACUACGGUGCUGAAGCAACAAAUGCCCUGCUUCCAGGAAAAGCCUCUAAGCAUCAGGUAACAUCAAAUCGUACCCCAAACCGACACAGGUGGUCAGGUAGAGAAUACCAAGGCGCUUGAGAGAACUCGGGUGAAGGAACUAGGCAAAAUGGUGCCGUAACUUCGGGAGAAGGCACGCUGAUAUGUAGGUGAAGCGACUUGCUCGUGGAGCUGAAAUCAGUCGAAGAUACCAGCUGGCUGCAACUGUUUAUUAAAAACACAGCACUGUGCAAACACGAAAGUGGACGUAUACGGUGUGACGCCUGCCCGGUGC
rnacentral:rRNA from 1 species